ACGCGUAUCCAACCUGCCCACCACUUGGGGAUAACCUUGCGAAAGUAAGACUAAUACCCAAUGAUAUCUCUAGAAGACAUCUGAAAGAGAUUAAAGAUUUAUCGGUGAUGGAUGGGGAUGCGUCUGAUUAGCUUGUUGGCGGGGUAACGGCCCACCAAGGCGACGAUCAGUAGGGGUUCUGAGAGGAAGGUCCCCCACAUUGGAACUGAGACACGGUCCAAACUCCUACGGGAGGCAGCAGUGAGGAAUAUUGGUCAAUGGGCGAGAGCCUGAACCAGCCAAGUAGCGUGCAGGAUGACGGCCCUAUGGGUUGUAAACUGCUUUUAUAAGGGAAUAAAGUGAGUCUCGUGAGACUUUUUGCAUGUACCUUAUGAAUAAGGACCGGCUAAUUCCGUGCCAGCAGCCGCGGUAAUACGGAAGGUCCGGGCGUUAUCCGGAUUUAUUGGGUUUAAAGGGAGCGUAGGCCGGAGAUUAAGCGUGUUGUGAAAUGUAGACGCUCAACGUCUGCACUGCAGCGCGAACUGGUUUCCUUGAGUACGCACAAAGUGGGCGGAAUUCGUGGUGUAGCGGUGAAAUGCUUAGAUAUCACGAAGAACUCCGAUUGCGAAGGCAGCUCACUGGAGCGCAACUGACGCUGAAGCUCGAAAGUGCGGGUAUCGAACAGGAUUAGAUACCCUGGCAGUCCGCACGGUAAACGAUGGAUGCCCGCUGUUGGUCUGAAUAGGUCAGCGGCCAAGCGAAAGCAUUAAGCAUCCCACCUGGGGAGU
rnacentral:rRNA from 1 species